CUUCCUGCACGCGGCGUCGCUCGGUCAGGCUUUCGCCCAUUGCCGAAUAUUCUCGACUGCAGCCACCCGUAGGUGUCUGGGCAGUGUCUCAGUCCCAGUGAGGGGGAUCAUGCUCUCACAUCCCCUACCCGUCAUAGCCUUGGUGGGCCGUUACCCCGCCAACAAGCUGAUAGGCCAUAGGAUCCUCUCACAGCGCGUUUUGCGCUUUACAUGCGAAUGACAUAUGUCCCCGCAUGACCAUCGUGGAAUUAGACCCCCUUUCGGAGGCUUAUGCCCGACUGUGAGGUAGAUUACCAAUGUGUUACGCACCCGUUUGCCGCUCAUCAUCCUCAGUAUUGCUACCAAGGAUAAUCCGCGCGACUUGCAUGCCUUAGACACGCCGCCAGCAUUCAUCCUGAGCCAGGAUCAAACUCUAAUCGAAUUCCCGCGGCCGCCAUGGCGGCCGGGAGCAUGCGACGUCGGGCCCAAUUCGCCCUAUAGUGAGUCKUAU
rnacentral:rRNA from 1 species